rnacentral:rRNA from 1 species
UACGAAGGGUGCAAGCGUUACUCGGAAUUACUGGGCGUAAAGCGUGCGUAGGUGGUCGUUUAAGUCUGCUGUGAAAGCCCUGGGCUCAACCUGGGAAUUGCAGUGGAUACUGGGCGACUAGAGUGUGGUAGAGGAUAGUGGAAUUUCCGGUGUAGCAGUGAAAUGCGUAGAGAUCGGAAGGAACAUCUGUGGCGAAGGCGACUAUCUGGGCCAACACUGACACUGAGGCACGAAAGCGUGGGGAGCAAACAGG